AAAAUAUUAGACUCCUAGAAAUUUCCCCCCAAAAGCUACCGGCACCAUCUCUCCCAAAUCCCAAUCCUUCACCACUCUAACCAACCAUCCUUGAAGGCUUGAACCCUCGUCCCUCGUCCUCCUCAUGGAAAACAUAACCGUCAAGGUAUGGCCAACCUAGUCUUUCUUUUGUUUCUCUUCUUAAUUUCGAUUGUUGCCAUUGCUUUCAUAGGAUUCUUGAUUGGGAAUAGUUCUUUUCAGUUUCUUCAUUACAGUGUGGCACUAAAAUGUCAAUUUUAUUAUGAAUGGAGGAGCUUUUUCGUAUAUUUUAAUUUCUAUAUUUGCAUAUGUUUAAAUUAGUUUGUUGUAUGAAAUGUGAAUUAGUAGCUCAUCUUGAUUUUUGUAAUACUAAGUCCGGACAAGCCUUUUUUCCUAUAAUUUCUUAUAUAUUGUUUAUUCUUCAUUACCUCCAUUUGUAGACUAGGGAUCUUAAAUGACUUUUUGGGUUGUGCACAGUUUACAGCUAUAUGGACACAAAAAAACCAUACUAAUAAAUUUUCUCUAUUAGAGUAGGUACUGUUCACAGUUGUAGGGUUAUUAUCUAUGUGAAUAUUUGCAGAGAGCAAAUGAGUUGGUGAGGCACAAUUUUCACCCAAACUUGAUGAUCAGUUGAGUGGAUAUAGGGUGAGUAUCUGCAUUCAUUUGAUGUGCAACUUACUAAAUAAAUAGUCAUAUGAAAAUGCAUCUUUGCUUUCUAUAUAUUUUUUGUACUUCUUGUGGCAGCUAGCAAUGAAGGAAGCAUGCAAAUAGGUGAAGAAGAGUUGAUUGUUGAGAUAUUAUACAACAAUUAGGAUAAAGCCAUAACUCCUAAACAAUUGUAGACGCUAUCCAAUGAAUUUGCUGAGAUAGUAGGAAAACUUCUCAAACCCAUAAAGCUAGAACUCAGUCAUUACUCAUUAGCACCUUAGGUCAUUGUUCUAGAACUCAUAACCCAUACAGUUAAAAUUUUGCCUCCGUCUCUGAGUGCAAAGUUGAUUUGGACUUCCCAAAAGUAGAAGUCAGAUUUCAGCAUCUGACAGUUGAAGCUUAUGUGCAUCUUGGCAGUCGAGCACUGCCAACCAUUUCAAAUUUUAUUUUCAACAUGACCGAGGUAUUCCCCAUGCCAUCAAUUAUUACGUUAGAGUAGCACUUGAUCAUUUUAGCAUAUGACAUCUCCCCUCUCUCUGUAUUAUGUGCAAACAUGUCAGGCUUUCUUAAGGCAGCUCAAAAUAUACUCUAGCAAGAGAAUAAAGCUGACAAUUUUAGAUGACAUUAGUGGGAUAAUCCGACCUUUCAAGUAUGAAUCAAUCAUUAACUCCCAAGAAAUCAAAAGCUGGUGAGAGUAUGUUUAUUUAAAACAUUAUGAUGUUCAUUUCUAGAUUAACGCUCUUAUUGGGUCCUCCAAGCUCUGGCAAAACCACAUUGUUAUUAGCACUUGCUGGAUGCCUCAAAUCUGACUUGCAGACGUCAGGGAAUAUUACUUACAAUGGACAUGGUCUGAAAGAGUUUUUCCUCAAAAGACAUCCCCUUAUGUCAGUCAACAAGAUUGGCAUAUAACAGAGAUGACCUAUGGACUUCUCAGCAUAUUGUCAGGGUGUUGGAUCAAAAUAUGAUAUGCUAUUGGAACUUUCAAGAAGAGAAAAGAUGGCAGGAAUAAAACCUGAUGAAGAUCUUGACCUAUUCAUGAAGGCAUAAGCUUUGGAGGGGAACGAGACUGCACUUGUUGUUGAGUACAUUCUAAAGGUUAGAGUCUAUGACUCAUUCAUAUAUAGUUGUAGAAAGAGAAGGUGGAAGUCCUGCAAGAUUAGGAGGGUAACAUGGCAGUCUUAUUUACUGCGCCCUUCUUAUUGAUAUCCAUAAGAAGAACACUUUCUUUCACGCAUUUGGUACAAAUACAAUCCACUAAUGUCUCUCAACUCGCGAUCGGAAUCUGGUAUUAGAAAAGCAUUGGAGCACUUUUGGAUUUUCACUUCUCUUCAUAUUCCGCUGAUGGUUACCAUCACUAUCCAGUCUCACAUUAGCUAGUUUUCUUUUAAAGCUGUAUAUUCGUGUUGUAAAAGAGCUAUGUAGGAAAUUAUUCUUUCUCUUGUAGAUGAACACCGUUACGUUUUGAGUAUAACAACAUUUUAGUAUUUUAAUUUAUCUUGAAUGAUAUUGUUGAACCUUUAA